rnacentral:rRNA from 1 species
UACGGAAGAUGCGAGCGUUAUCCGGAUUUAUUGGGUUUAAAGGGAGCGUAGGCGGGUUUUUAAGUCUGCGGUAAAAUGUCAGCGCUCAACGCUGGCCCGCCGUGGAAACUGGAAGCCUUGAAUGUGCACAGGGAAGGUGGAAUUCGUGGUGUAGCGGUGAAAUGCUUAGAUAUCACGAAGAACUCCGAUCGCGAAGGCAUCCUUCUGGGGCAUGAUUGACGCUGAGGCUCGAAAGCGCGGGUAUC